CAGCCGCCGCGGUAAUUCGGAGGGCGCGAGCGUUGUCCGGAUUCACUGGGCGUAAAGCGGGUGUAGGCGGUUGGGCAAGUCGGACGUGAAAGCCCGGGGCUCAACCUAGGAAUUGCGCUUGUGACUGGCGGGCUCGAGUACGGUAGAGGGGGGUGGAAUUCCUGGUGUAGCAGUGAAAUGCGUAGAGAUCAGGAGGAACACCGAUGGCGAAGGCAGCCCCCUGGGCCUGUACUGACGCUCAUGCACGAAAGCGUGGGGAGCAAACAGGAUUAGAUACCCUGGUAGUCCACGCCCUAAACGAUGGGUACUAGCCGUUUGGUGCGCGAUAGCGCUGAGUGGCGAAGCUAACGCGUGAAGUACCCCGCCUGGGGAGUACGGCCGCAAGGUUGAAACUUAAAGGAAUUGGCGGG
rnacentral:rRNA from 1 species